GACGAACGCUGGCGGCGUGCUUAACACAUGCAAGUCGAGCGGUAAGGCCCUUUCGGGGGUACACGAGCGGCGAACGGGUGAGUAACACGUGGGUGACCUGCCCUCAGCUCUGGGAUAAGCCUGGGAAACCGGGUCUAAUACCGGAUAUGACUCCAUGACGCAUGUUGUGGGGUGGAAAGCCUUGUGCGGCUGAGGAUGGGCCCGCGGCCUAUCAGCUUGUUGGUGGGGUGAGGCCUACCAAGGCGACGACGGGUAGCCGGCCUGAGAGGGCGACCGGCCACACUGGGACUGAGACACGGCCCAGACUCCUACGGGAGGCAGCAGUGGGGAAUCUUGCGCAAUGGGCGAAAGCCUGACGCAGCGACGCCGCGUGAGGGAUGACGGCCUCGGUUGUAAC
rnacentral:rRNA from 1 species